CGCUCUUUGCAAAAUAAUUUAAGUAUAAAGAGUUCUGCCUGCCCAGUGACGUAGUUAAACGGCCGCGGUAUUUUGACCGUGCGAAGGUAGCAUAAUCAUUUGCCUCUUAAAUAGAGGCUGGUAUGAAUGGCAAGACGAAGGUUAGGCUGUCUCUUUCUUAAAUCUUGAAUUUAAUGUUUUUGUGAAGAAGCAAAAAUUUAUUCGUAGGACGAGAAGACCCUAUCGAGCUUUAGUUGUGUUAUUUAAAAUAUGAAUUAUUCAAUAAAUCUAAUAAGGUUGAGGUAUCAAUCAUUUAAUUUUAUUUUAGAGAAUCAAAAUGUUUAAAUGAGAAGAUUUUGAUUGGGGCAAUCACGGAGAAAAAAAAUCCUCCGUUAAAAAGUUAAAAAAUUACAAUUUUAGUUAAGGAAGAUCCAUUGGUAAAAUGACAAAAGGAAUAAGUUACCGUAGGGAUAACAGCGUAAUUUUUUUGGAGAGUUCAUAUUGAUAAAAAAGUUUGCGACCUCGAUGUUGGAUCAAGAUUUCCUAGGGAUGCAGCAGUUUCUAAGGGUUGGUCUGUUCGACCAUUAAAA
rnacentral:rRNA from 1 species